rnacentral:rRNA from 1 species
GCAAAAAAAGCGUAGAUGUCCGAAUGGGGAAACCCACUUAAGGUAAUGCUUAAGUAUCGAUAUGUGAAUAAAAUAGCAUAUACGAAGGUAAAGCAGGGGAACUGAAACAUCUAAGUACCCUGAGGAAAAGAAAGAAAAAUCGAUUCCCCGAGUAGCGGCGAGCGAAACGGGAAGAGCCCAAACCUAGCGGACGAAAGGAAGCUGGGGGUUGAGGAUACAGCAACAAAGUAGAUAGAAAUUGGUAGUAGAAUAGACCUGGGAAGGUCAACCGAAGAAGGUAAAAGUCCAGUAUACGAAACCAAAAGAAAUCGAAAGCUGUAAUCCAGAGUACCACGGGACACGUGAAACCCUGUGGGAAGCAGGGGGGACCACCCCCCAAGGCUAAAUACUAACUGGUGAGCGAUAGUGAACAAGUACCGUGAGGGAAAGGUGAAAAGAACCCCGGAAGGGGAGUGAAAAAGAACCUGAAACCCUUUGCUUACAAUCUGUGGGAGCCUGAAGUAAGUUUACUUACACGGGUGACCGCGUACUUUUUGUAGAACGGGCCAACGAGUUACGGUGUGCAGCAAGGUUAAAUGAUUAAGUCAUGGAGCCGAAGCGAAAGCGAGUCUUAAUAGGGCGAAAGUUGUGCGCCGUAGACCCGAAACCGAGCGACCUACCCAUGGUCAGGAUGAAGCGGAAGUAAAAUUUCGUGGAGGUCCGAACCGAUUGACGUUGAAAAGUCACCGGAUGAACUGUGGGUAGAGGUGAAAUUCCAAUCGAGCUCGGAGAUAGCUGGUUCUCGCCGAAAUAGCUUUAGGGCUAGCCUCGAUAUAGAGAUGCGGAGGUAGAGCACUGAAUGGUCAAGGGGGCUUCACCGCUUACCGAAACCUAUCAAACUCCGAAUGCCGUACACUUUAAAUAUCGGGAGUCAGACCACGAGUGAUAAGAUCCGUGGUCAAGAGGGAAAGAGCCCAGACCAACAGCUAAGGUCCCAAAGUAUAUGUUAAGUGGGAAAGGAUGUGGAGUUGCAAAAACAACCAGGAUGUUGGCUUAGAAGCAGCCAUACAUUUAAAGAGUGCGUAAUAGCUCACUGGUCGAGUGACUCUGCGCCGAAGAUACCCGGGGCUAAAACAUAACACCGAAGCUUUGGAAUAAAGUAUUUGGGAAACCAAGUACUAUAUUGGUAGGCGAGCAUUCUGUAGGGGAAGAAGCUAGACCGGAAGGACUAGUGGACACUACAGAAGAGAGAAUGUUGGCAUGAGUAACGAGAGGCAGGUGAGAAUCCUGCCCGUCGAAAGCCCAAGGUUUCCUGAGGAAGGCUCGUCCUCUCAGGGUAAGUCGGGGCCUAAGCCGAGGCCGAAAGGCGUAGGCGAUGGACAACAGGUUGAUAUUCCUGUACCACCAUUAAUUCAUUUGAGAGAAGUGGGGACACAGAAGGAUAGAUCAAGCGCGCGGUUGGAAGAGCGCGUCUAAGCGAAUAGGGAGUUAGAGUAGGCAAAUCCGCACUAACAAAAUCCUGAGGCGUGAUGGGGAGCGAAAUAUAAGUAGCGAAGUGAUUGAAUCCACGCUGUCAAGAAAAGCCACUAUCGAGAAUUAAAGGUGCCCGUACCGCAAACCGACACAGGUAGGCGAGGAGAGAAUCCUAAGACGAACGGGAGAACUAUUGUUAAGGAACUCGGCAAAAUGACCCCGUAACUUCGGGAGAAGGGGUGCCACCAUAUGUGAAGUACAAGCUACGUAAGCGUAAGGUGGCCGCAGAGAAAAGGCCCAAGCGACUGUUUAGCAAAAACAUAGGUCUCUGCAAAGUCGAAAGACGAAGUAUAGGGGCUGACGCCUGCCCGGUGCUGGAAGGUUAAGGGGAAAUGUAAGAGUAAUCGAAGCAUAGAACUUAAGCCCCAGUAAACGGCGGCCGUAACUAUAACGGUCCUAAGGUAGCGAAAUUCCUUGUCGGGUAAGUUCCGACCCGCACGAAAGGCGUAACGAUUUGGGCACUGUCUCAACAAUAGACCCGGUGAAAUUGUAAUACCAGUGAAGAUGCUGGUUACCCGCGACAGGACGGAAAGACCCCGUGGAGCUUUACUGCAGCUUGAGAUUGGAUUUUAAUACUACACGUACAGAAUAGGUGGGAGACUGAGAACUUAGCACGCCAGUGUUAGGGGAGUCGACGUUGGGAUACCACUCUUGUAGUAUUGAAGUUCUAACCAAUAUCCAUGAAACUGGAUAUGGGACACUCUCAGGCGGGCAGUUUGACUGGGGCGGUCGCCUCCUAAAGAGUAACGGAGGCGCCCAAAGGUUCCCUCAGCACGGUCGGAAAUCGUGCGAAGAGUGCAAAGGCAAAAGGGAGCUUGAUUGCGAGACAUACAGGUCGAGCAAGGACGAAAGUCGGGCUUAGUGAUCCGGUGGUUCCGAGUGGAAGGGCCAUCGCUCAACGGAUAAAAGCUACCCCGGGGAUAACAGGCUUAUCUCCCCCAAGAGUCCACAUCGACGGGGAGGUUUGGCACCUCGAUGUCGGCUCAUCACAUCCUGGGGCUGGAAUAGGUCCCAAGGGUUGGGCUGUUCGCCCAUUAAAGUGGUACGCGAGCUGGGUUCAGAACGUCGUGAGACAGUUCGGUCCCUAUCCGUCGCGGGCGCAGGAAAUUUGAGAGGAGCUGUCCUUAGUACGAGAGGACCGGGAUGGACAUACCACUGGUGUAGCAGUUGUUCUGCCAAGAGCAUAGCUGCGUAGCUAAGUAUGGAAGGGAUAAGUGCUGAAGGCAUCUAAGCACGAAGCCCCCCUCAAGAUAAGAUUUCCCACCCGAAAGGGUUAAGACC